rnacentral:lncRNA from 1 species
AAGCUGUCCAAGGCCGCCCACUGAGCUGCCGAUGGCUGCAGAAGGUGGCCCGGAGCCUGGCACUGGCCCUGCUGUGCCUUGUGCUGUCCACUUGCGUGGGCCCCUACCUCUUCCCGUACUUCAUCCCCCUCGACGGUGACCGCCUCCUUCGCAACAAGAAACGCAAAGCCAGGUAAAUGAGGGCAGGUGUGAGGGCACGUGGAGUGGGGCUGACAUGAGUGGGGGCAGAGCCCAUGACCAAUGGGUUCUGUGUGUCCAAGUGUGUCUGACCGUCAACUCCAUGACUAGACAGAGACUGUGGUUGGCUGGCUGGCUGACGAAGCUUGGCUCUGUG